UACGUAGGCGGAAAAUUAAGUCAGUAGUGAAAUCCUGCAGCUUAACUGUAGAACUGUUAUUGAUACCGGUUUUCUUGAAUAUAGUUGAGGUAGGCGGAAUGUGUAAUGUAGCGGUGAAAUGCUUAGAUAUUACACAGAACACCGAUUGCGAAGGCAGCUUACUAAGCUAUGAUUGACGCUGAGGUACGAAAGCGUGGGGAGCGAACAGGAUUAGAUACCCUGGUAGUCC
rnacentral:rRNA from 1 species